rnacentral:rRNA from 1 species
GACGAACGCUGGCGGCGUGCUUAACACAUGCAAGUCGAACGGUAAGGCCCUUCGGGGUACACGAGUGGCGAACGGGUGAGUAACACGUGGGUGAUCUGCCCUGCACUUCGGGAUAAGCCUGGGAAACUGGGUCUAAUACCGGAUAGGACCACUGCCUGCAUGGGUGGUGGUGGAAAGCUUUGGCGGUGUGGAAUGGGCCCGCGGCCUAUCAGCUGGUUGGCGGGGUGAUGGCCUACCAAGGCGACGACGGGUAGCCGGCCUGAGAGGGUGACCGGCCAGCCUGGAGCUGAAGUACGGCCCGGACUCCUACGGGGGGCAGCGGUGGGGAAGAUUGCACAAUGGGCGCAAGCGUGAUGCAGAGACGCCGCGGGAGGGAUGACGGCCUUCGGGUUGUAAACCUCUUUCAGCACCGACGAAGCGCAAGUGACGGUAGGUGCAGAAGAAGGACCGGCCAACUACGUGCCAGCCGCCGCCGUAACAC